rnacentral:tRNA from 1 species
UAGAAGGUAGUAUAUCGGGAGUACAGAGAGUUUUGGGGUCUCAGGUGUGGGUUCAAAUCCCAUUUUUCUAG